AUAAGAGCACAGGGUGGAUGCCCAGGCACCAAACGCCGACGAAAGACGUGGCAAGCUGCGAAAAGUCACGGGGAACCGCAAGCAGGUAUUGAUCCGUGAACGUCUGAAUGGGGAAACCCGGCGGGUUAACAGCCCGUCACUAUUAACUGAAUGAAUAGGUUAAUAGGGGGAACGCGGGGAACUGAAACAUCUCAGUACCCGUAGGAAGAGAAAAUAAAGAAUGAUUUCCUAAGUAGCGGCGAGCGAACGGGAAAGAGGCCAAACCGAAGGGCUUGCUCUUCGGGGUUGUGGAUCAGCAAAAAGGACGGAAGACCUUAGCAGAAGAGGAUUGGAAAGUCCCGCCAGAGAGGGUAAAAGCCCCUUACGCGAAAAGGUCAAACGACGAGCUGACACCAGAGUACCGCAGGACACGAGAAAUCCGGUGGGAAGCCGGGAGGACCACCUCCCAAGCCUAAAUACGAAUUGGUGACCGAUAGCGCAUAGUACCGUGAGGGAAAGGUGAAAAGAACCCCGGGAGGGGAGUGAAAAAGAACCUGAAACCCUGUGUUUACAAGCAGUGAAAGUGCGAGCAAGGCACGAUCACGUACUUUUUGUAGAACGGACCGGCGAGUUACGUUAUGCAGCAAGGUUAAGAACUGAAGGUUCGGAGCCGAAGCGAAAGCGAGUCUGAAUAGGGCGAUAGUUGCAUGACGUAGACCCGAAACCGGGUGACCUAUCCAUGAGCAGGUUGAAGUGGAGGUAAAGCUCCAUGGAGGACCGAACCAGACGUCUGUUGAAAAAGGCGGGGAUGACUUGUGGAUAGGGGAGAAAUUCCAAUCGAACCCGGAGAUAGCUGGUUCUCCUCGAAAUAGCUUUAGGGCUAGCCUCGAUUUAGUCUUAUGGAGGUAGAGCACUGAAUUUCCGCGGGGGCGUCAAAGCUUACCAAAGAAUAUCAAACUCCGAAUGCCAUGUAGAUGAUGAUCGGGAGUCAGACUGCACGAGAUAAGUUGGGCAGUCAAAAGGGAAAGAGCCCAGACCACCGGCUAAGGUCCCAAAGUGCGUGUUAAGUGGAAAAGGAUGUGGGAAUUCGAAGACAACUAGGAUGUUGGCUCAGAAGCAGCCAUUCAUUCAAAGAGUGCGUAAUAGCUCACUAGUCGAGAGGUCCUGCGCCGAAAAUGUCCGGGGCUGAAACACAACACCGAAGCUCAGGAAUGUAUUUAUACAUUGGUAGAGGAGCAUUCUUAAAGGGGCGAAGCAGUACCGAUAAGGAGCUGUGGACUUUUAAGAAGAGAGAAUGCCGGAAUGAGUAGCGAGAUGGAGGUGGGAAUCCUCCAGGCCGAAUAUCUAAGGUUUCCAGAGUAAAGCUGAUCUGCUCUGGGUAAGUCGGGACCUAAGGCGAGGACGAAAGUCGUAGUCGAUGGAUAACAGGUGGAGAUUCCUGUACUCCGUAUAAACAGAACUGUGGGGACACGGGUGGAAAGCCUGACCCGGGAAUGGAAAGACCGGGACAAGCGAGGUACCUGAUAAGGAGGCAAAUCCCCUUAUCAAUGGGAAGACGUGAUGUGGAGCGAACCAAAGGGUAGCGAAGCAGGUGAGCCAGCCGUCGAGAAAAGCCGCUAUUGUUUUGUACGGACCCGUACCGUAAACCGACACAGGUGGAUGAGGAGAGAAUCCUAAGGCCGACGGGAGAAGCAUUGUUAAGGAACUCGGCAAAAUGACCCCGUAACUUCGGGAGAAGGGGUGCCACAGAGAUGUGGCCGCAGAGAAUAGGCUCAAGCAACUGUUUAGCAAAAACACAGGUCUAUGCGAAACCGAAAGGUGAGGUAUAUGGGCUGACGCCUGCCCGGUGCUGGAAGGUUAAGAGGAGAGGUUAGAGCAAUCGAAGCUUUGAAUUGAAGCCCCAGUAAACGGCGGCCGUAACUAUAACGGUCCUAAGGUAGCGAAAUUCCUUGUCGGGUAAGUUCCGACCUGCACGAAUGGCGUAACGACUUCCCCGCUGUCUCCAACAUAGGCUCAGCGAAAUUGAACUCUGAGUUAAGAUGCUCAGUACCCGCGGUUAGACGGAAAGACCCCGUGAACCUUUACUAUAGCUUUGCAGUGGUAUUAGGUAAUAGAUGUGUAGAAUAGGUGGGAUGCUAUGAAGCAGGGACGCUAGUUCUUGUGGAGCAGACUUUGAAAUACCACCCUUUUGUUAUUUGAUAUCUAACCUGCUCCCGUAGAUCCGGGAGAGGGACCCUGCAUGGUGGGUAGUUUGACUGGGGCGGUCGCCUCCCAAAGAGUAACGGAGGCGUGCGAAGGUUAGCUCAGACUGGUCGGAAAUCAGUCGUCGAGUGCAAUGGCAUAAGCUAGCCUGACUGCGAGAGAGACAUUUCGAGCAGAUACGAAAGUAGGUCAUAGUGAUCCGGUGGUCCCGAGUGGAAGGGCCAUCGCUCAACGGAUAAAAGGUACUCCGGGGAUAACAGGCUGAUUCCGCCCAAGAGUUCACAUCGACGGCGGAGUUUGGCACCUCGAUGUCGGCUCAUCACAUCCUGGGGCUGGAGAAGGUCCCAAGGGUUCGGCUGUUCGCCGAUUAAAGUGGUACGCGAGCUGGGUUUAGAACGUCGUGAGACAGUUCGGUCCCUAUCUGCCGUGGGUGUAGGAUACUUGAGAGGAUUUGUCCUUAGUACGAGAGGACCGGGAUGAACAUACCUCUGGUGUACCAGUUGUAACGCCAGUUGCAGCGCUGGGUAGCUAAGUAUGGAAGGGAUAACCGCUGAAUGCAUCUAAGCGGGAAACCCACCUCAAAACUAGGUAUCCCCAUUAAGAUCGUGGUAGACCACCACGUUGAUAGGUCAGGUGUGUAAGCACAGCAAUGUGUUUAGCUAACUGAUACUAAUAAUCUGAUUGGCUUGAUA
rnacentral:rRNA from 1 species